UCAACCAAUGAGGAAGCGCUUCUGCUCAAGGCGGAUAUAUCUUGAUUGGGCUUUCUACCUGCUCGGUUCCGGCCACAGCACUGGAUCGUCCAUCACCACUCGGAUAGCAUGAACGGUUUGUGUCGACAGAGGACAAGAGAUGACAAAGUAACAGAGUACAUCAUGGUACAUGAGAUGUUAGGCAGAGAAGAAAAAUAUGUCUGGGCUUGUCAAAGACUAGUGACUGGCCCAAGAGAGGGACUUAUAGAAAUCACCUGUCCCUAACUUGUGUCAUGAGAUCUACGCGCCAUAUUUUACAUCUUUCAAACCAUGCUUCUGGCAAGGGAGUACGUGCAUGCACAACUU